GAUGAACGCUGGCGGCGUGCCUAAUACAUGCAAGUCGAGCGAACAGACGAUGAGCUUGCUCCUCUGACGUUAGCGGCGGACGGGUGAGUAACACGUGGAUAACCUACCUAUAAUACUGGGAUAACUUCGGGAAACCGGAGCUAAUACCGGAUAAUAUAUUGAACCGCAUGGUUCAAUAGUUAAAGACGGUUUUGCUGUCACUUAUAGAUGUAUCCGCGCCGCAUUAGCUAGUUGGUAAGGUAACGGCUUACCAAGGCAACGAUGCGUAGCCGACCUGAGAGGGUGAUCGGCCACACUGGAACUGAGACACGGUCCAGACUCCUACGGGAGGCAGCAGUAGGGAAUCUUCCGCAAUGGGCGAAAGCUUGACGGAGCAACGCCGCGUGAGUGAUGAAGGUCUUCGGAUCGUAAAACUCUGUUAUUAGGGAAGAACAAAUGUGUAAGUAACUAUGCACGUCUUGACGGUACCUAAUCAGAAAGCCACGGCUAACUACGUG
rnacentral:rRNA from 1 species